CUCGCUCUACCGAAGGCACCCAGUAUGAAGCCGCGUUGUAAGGACCCCGAGACAAGCUCCUGACGUCCUUGUUUGUUAACAGUCGCUUGGCCAGAGUUGACAACUCCACUCACUAGCCACUUCAAUCAAGACUGAGCAUUACCUUUGCCAUGCCUCCACCUUUCCAACUGUUCCUUCACCUGCUUUCACUGGAGAUCACAAUGUCAUCUGCGAACACCAUGAUCCACAGGGAUUCCAGUCUAACCUCAUCUGUCAGCCUAUCCAUUCAAACGACAAAUCCAGA